AGCGAACGCUGGCGGCAGGCCUAACACAUGCAAGUCGAACGGAUCCUUCGGGAUUAGUGGCGGACGGGUGAGUAACACGUGGGAACGUGCCCUUUGGUUCGGAACAACUCAGGGAAACUUGAGCUAAUACCGGAUGUGCCCUUCGGGGGAAAGAUUUACCGCCAUUGGAGCGGCCCGCGUCUGAUUAGCUAGUUGGGGGGGUAAAGGCUCACCAAGGCGCCGAUCAGUAGCUGGUCUGAGAGGAUGAUCAGCCACAUUUGGACUGAGACACGGCCCAAACUCCUACGGGAGGCAGCAGUGGGGAAUCUUGCGCAAUGGGCGAAAGCCUGACGCAGCCAUGCCGCGUGAAUGAUGAAGGUCUUAGGAUUGUAAAAUUCUUUCACCGGGGACGAUAAUGACGGUACCCGGAGAAGAAGCCCCGGCUAACUUCGUGCCAGCCGCCGCGGUAAAAC
rnacentral:rRNA from 1 species